CAAGGAAAAGGUCAUCUUUGACAAAAGUUGUCUUACACUCAUGAAAGCCAGAGCUGCUCAACUUAUAUCUCUGCACACUGCAGGACACACUUGUAGAGCUACACAACAAUCCUGUGCUGUUUUCUGGAGGUUGCUAGUUGGAUGGGAUGUGGUGGAAAAGCAGUAACAUUGGAGUACUCAGCUGUAUGCGAAGCCAAACAAUGUUCAGUAAACACUGGUUUCACGUGAAGUGUGAAAUGUAAAAUGAAGUGACUGAUUCAUCUGGUGUCAUAGGGUAGAUGUGACAGCAACAUGAGCACUUCUGCAACUUAAGGCAAGCAGGACAGAACUUUUAGUUUCAGGGGGCUGAAUGUACCUAAAAAGAGGUUACAAAACAGUCCCAGUCUGUCUGGCAAUGGAUAAGUUCUCUCCUUGCCAAAAGGAUUAUUUAUGUGAGACAUCACUCAAACUGUUCCCAGACCAACUGAAAGCAGUUUGACAUCAGCAGAAUGGAGCCUGCAGCUUGAAAAGGGCAUUGCCAUGGACAAGGCUGAGUGCAGGAGAGCAGUGGCUGAAGAGGGCACCACUGAAGAGCUACUUUUCCUGGCAGAGCAGGAGCACAGAGUGGGAUUGAGCAGGAGAGUGUUCUGCAGAGCAGCACAACUCCGUAUUUUGUCUCCUGAGCAGCUGGGCAGGACAGAGGGGGAAUGCGCUACCUAGUGCAGCUAGAACAACACUAUUUCUAUUGAAAUAUUCAGGUAUAUUCACAACUUCUGACAAAUGGAUUUGUCAACUCCAUGAGAGGGUUUUUGUCACGUGUGUAACGCUUGAAACUGCUCAAAAAUUAAGGCUGCUGCUGAAUUCCACUAAGGCAAAUAUCUGAGUAAAAAAGGAAGCUCUCAGGCCUAAUGAGCUAUUUCCAAGCAUAGAUUCAAGCACAGCUGCCUUGCAUUUAAUAACCUGCAAACAGAGCAAAAAAAGGGGAAUGGCACUUGCAUAUUCAAGUCAGCAUACAGACAGAUUCUUCUGUUUCUGCGUAUGAAAUUCUUGCUCAUAAUUGUGGAGAAGAGAUGGAAACUACAGGGGAAAAAACCAAACAAAACAAAAAAGUCAACACUAAAGAAUACUGAAGACAGCUGGCAGUAACAACAAAUGAUCCUGGUACUAUCUUAAGGCACACUCUAGCAAGCCCACCUGUGAUUGCCCUCAACAUCAUGGGACAAAAGCAACAGCUCUGCUGGAAGCUGUUUCCCUUUUUCUACCUCCCUGGAAGCUGUGCUCCAAGCUCACUACUCUCAGUGGCACUAGAGGUGCAAAGAGAAACAGAGAGAGUGGCUCUUGAAUUCACAGCAGCAGAGACACAGUCUCUGAAAAUAUCACAGCCAAACAAGGCAAACAAGAAAUUAAAAAGCACAUCUUACACUACUUGAAGUAAAAAUGCAGCAAAAGGGAAUGAAUAUGAAUCAAACAUUUGAUUAUUUGGCUUUGGGAUUGUCAAUAGUAGAUGCUGUUGCUCCAGCUAACAAAGCCACCAUCUUGGAAGAGAGACAAUUAAGGUACACAUUUCAAAGAUGGGCCAAAGUUUAUUCAGCUUUAGAUUUGGAAAUCACACUGAAGUCCAUCUCUGCUUUUCAGAACAACUUAUGACAAGAAGAAUGUGUGCUUACUGAUAGCUUAUUUUAAAACCCUCCUGCAGAAUAAAUAGACACUUUACAAUAAAAUGAACCAAUACCAAUAACAGUGCAGUGAACCUGUGAUCUUCAGUGUGAUUACAGCCCAGCCUGAGGAAUAAAAAGUUCUGUUUAAAUCAAAGAAACACUGAAACUCUUCAAACUUCCCUGAGCUUAUCCUCAAGCUCUAAGGAUUUUAGGAAUGCCACAUCCUGCACUCCUGCAGGCAAUCGCAUUGCCCCAAGACUGCCCUGAGCACAUGUGCCUUGUCAUGCACACGGGAUUUUGGAAUAAUCAUCAGUGUGGAUCCCACGUGCAGCCUGCCAGUGUGCACUGCAAGAUCCACCAUCAUUGUCAAUUUCAUGACCAAAAGCCUCUGAGAUGGGGCUUGUGUUUGGGAAAUUUUUACAAUAUGGAUGCAGAUGAACACUGCUGGGGUCCCUUACUUCAGAAAUCUGAACGAAGAGGAUCGAGGCUCAGUAGGAAGGGAACAAAACAACAGGAUUAUGGCAUCUUGCUGUGAUCUCCACACUGUAUGCAACUAAAAGCAAGCUUCCCCAUUUCAGCCAGAAGGUUUGACUUUCUGUCAUAUCCCCUUCCUAUUUUCUGUUUCUUUCUUUUCAGGUCCCUUGAGCCAUACCAUCUUUAUUGCCUUUUUAACGGUUUACACACAGGUUUAAAGAUCUCUUGGAUGUAUUCUGCUGCCCAGCAUUGCAGAGCAAUAGUUCUGGCAGUACCUGAAACUUUACAAAGCUUAAUGAUGAAAGUCAGAGCUUUCCUAAGCACAGCAAUGACGCCUGGUGGUGAAACACAGGGAUCCUGUUCUUCUAGGGCUUCUGUGCAGAUUGUCUUUCUAAUGUUCUGUUCUUCAACAUUGUGGUGGCCUGGGAACAAAAUCACAUUGGAGGUCUCUAAGUCUUGGUUGGAUAAGCAUGUCAGAGCUGAUCUUUCCUGAGGACAGCAGGGUGAAGCAGAGAACUUUCCAGUGUGUUUUCCUACAGUUUCAUUAAUUUUGUGCAGCUAAAGCUGGUUCAAAGAAAGAUCUUUCUUUAAGAAGUGCCCUACAGCACUGCAUGCAAAUAUUUCUGUAAUCAGAAACAAAUUCCUUGUUGUUUCUUGUUACUAAAGAGUACAGUCAUUUAUCUCUGCUUCCAGUGUAAUGCAUUAGUGGGCCAUGCCUGAAAUACGCAAUUCACCACCUUGAAAAUAUUGAGAACAACAGCCAGGUCUGUAGCUUAAAAAUUAAGAAUAAAUGUGCUUUCCUUAGUAGCAUGCCACAAACUAGAACACCAGAGUGCGAAACAGAGCUAUAACUUGUAUAUGAUAUGUAAAUCCAAAAUGAAAAACAAAUAAAAGUCCUCAUCCUCACA